GUGGGGAAUAUUGGGCAAUGGGCGAAAGCCUGACCCAGCAACGCCGCGUGAAGGAAGAAGGCCCUCGGGUUGUAAACUUCUUUUAAGAGGGACGAAAGAAAUGACGGUACCUCUUGAAUAAGCCACGGCUAACUACGUGCCAGCAGCCGCGGUAAUACGUAGGUGGCGAGCGUUAUCCGGAUUUACUGGGUGUAAAGGGCGUGUAGGCGGGAGUGCAAGCCCGAUGUGAAAAUUAUGGGCUCAACCCAUAACCUGCAUUUGAAACGGUUUUUCGUGAGUGAUGGAGAGGCAGGCGGAAUUCCGUGUGUAGCGGUGAAAUGCGUAGAUAUACGGAGGAACACCAGUGGCGAAGGCGGCCUGCUGGACAUUAACUGACGCUGAGGCGCGAAAGCGUGGGGAGCAAACAGGAUUAGAAACCCUUGUAGUCC
rnacentral:rRNA from 1 species